rnacentral:lncRNA from 1 species
CCAAAGUCUAAAUCUGAGGUAGCUGACCACGGUUUAGCAUUUCUGUUUCCACUGUAGCUUGUUUCUCAGUCAUCUUUGUGUGUAUGUAGUUAGCACUGGCAAUUUAUAAAACAGUCACUACCAGAUUAAGCACAUUAAAUUAACUUAAGAUGGAAAUUACAGUCUACCUAUAGACUGUACGGACCCAACCACCACUAAAAACAUAAAGGAAAGUUCAUAGUUUUGCCACUGUAGUCUGACAGUUUGUUCCCAGCAAUGCAUGCCAUCAAUCACAGCAGCUUGAUAAGGCCCUCACUGUCAUCUGGCUCAGCAAGCCUUGAAGUCUGCUACACGAAGCUGUGAUCUGACGUUAAGCCAGUACUGCAGCUUUGUCCCAAGUUCAAGAUGUAUAGCUCCUAGUGACAGCAGAAGUUAUGAUUACAAGUUCAGCAGGAAAAGAGAAUUAAUAUUGAUCUGCUGUCCAUGCAACCCACUACACAGGGCAGAAAAACUCCAGGAGAAACAGCAUGUUUUGCAGAACAACUAG